GUCAGAAUGAAGGCGACAGCAGCGGGGAGAGAAUCAAGUCACGAGAUCGCUUGGAUUGGCCUUGGUGGACCAACGGGACCAAGGGUCGGGUGAGGGAGACCGAGGAGUCUCAGGCGACGCCCGCACCUCUGCCCGGGAAUCAGCCAGGUGAGCCCAGACUGUGCUGGUGGGACCAAGUCAGGGUGCAGAGUAUCCAGCCACCCCAGAGGUGCACGCUGACCAGGCCUCGUUAGUACAAUCGGGGCAAAGGAUGCCGGCUCCUGCCAGAUCGCACAGUGAUUCACCAGCUGAGACGCUCACGAUGCAGUGGUCGGAGGAACAGCCCAGAUACUGCCCAGCACUUAGGAGACCUCAAGUUCUAGCGGAGUGCCUGGGGAGGGCAGGGGGCGGCCUGCCCCCAGCCUGGCUGGGAUGCGAGGCCUGAGGAGGAGCUGGAUGAAGGCUCAGAGAUGUGAAUGGCGCUAGCGGGAGCCAGAAGAGCUGUGAAUGGACAGGGGAUGGAAAGCAUGUGUGUGGGUGGCUGGCCUCAGUGGCUUGGACCAUGUUCCGUACAUGAUAAGAAACCGAGGGGAUUAAGUAAGGCAAGGUCAUGGUCAGAUUGACCGUGGUGUGGGGGACACUGGUCCAGGCAAGGGGUCAUGUGUAUAGCCUGGCAGUGGCCAUGAGAAGGCUCAAGGUGAGAAUCAGAGGUUGAAUCUCUUUCUCCCCAUCCAUCCUGGAUUGUGGCCCCUUGAAGACAAGAGAGGGGCUCUGGUGUCCAGGGCAGGCACUGGGAGGCAGGACAGGCCUGCUGACCGUGUGUUGACCCCGAGGGAGCCUGGCCAUCACAGCCCUCUGCAUGGAGGGGCCACCCUGGGGCUGGAGCAGGUCAGGCUGACCGAGGGCACAGCUGACAUCCGACUCCCCACGUUCCCACGUUCCUCCCAGCGGCCACAGCUUGCAGCGCUGAAUGGUUCCGAGAAAUCAGUGGUUCAAAUGUCGCAGGAGCGAACACAGAGCUUCAAGGAGGAAUUCAUCCACCUGACCCAGGAAAGGCUCAGAAGCACCUACUGUGUGCCAGGCUUGGGGCUGGUGUGGGGGCACAGAUAUUAGAAUACAGGGCCUGAGUCUGGGGGUUUGGGGGCGCCCAGAGACCCAUGAACCACGAAGCCCCUGGGGGUCUGGGCUGUGGGCACUGGCACGGGGACAGACCCGGAAGAUCAGGCCUUGGCCAGUGGAGAGAUGGGAGGAAGGUGAAGGGGCAGGAGGGCCAGGGGCAGGAGCUCCUAGGGACAGCAGAGCACGGGAUUCGGGGUCUGCAAGUGAGUGGGAGGCAAGGGAGAGGGGGCUUGGUGCGGGGACCUCAGUGAGGGGAGGGGCUCAGCAGUGCAGCCCGGCCCUGGACUGGGACCAGGAGCCCAGAGCCCACCUUCCCCCAAACCGCCCAUCCUGCCAGGUUUUGGUGGAGACACAGAAGCAGAACCAUGGCCAUUUUCACCUUCUAAAAACCACAGACAUCCGACGCUGGGCACUGCAGCCAAAUUUCUGAGAGAGACAGAGGCCCCGUGGGCUCUUCUCCUGACGUCAAUCGGGGCUUCUCUUGUGUGUCUGCGGCUUUGACAGGAGGAGGCCAGACUAGGGGGCUGAGCCGAGAGACGAGAGAGGGACCAGAGCCCAAGGGAGGCCCCUGCUCUUCUGACCUGCCUUCCCUUGGGCAAAGCCAUGGUCAGGGUUUUUUGGGGACCCUGCCAGUGAGGAGGGCAGGUAUCAGUUACCAGACAGGGCCUGGGGGCAUCUGGAGUCCAGCGCCAGAAUCAAGCACCCUCAUCAGGCCCCAUGUUAAAGCCACAGCCCAUGUGGUCUGGGAGGCUCCACGCCAGGGAAGGAGGCCCUUUGACU
rnacentral:lncRNA from 1 species